GAUGAACGCUGGCGGCGUGCCUAAUACAUGCAAGUCGAGCGAACAGACGAGGAGCUUGCUCCUCUGACGUUAGCGGCGGACGGGUGAGUAACACGUGGAUAACCUACCUAUAAGACUGGGAUAACUUCGGGAAACCGGAGCUAAUACCGGAUAAUAUAUUGAACCGCAUGGUUCAAUAGUGAAAGACGGUUUUGCUGUCACUUAUAGAUGGAUCCGCGCCGCAUUAGCUAGUUGGUAAGGUAACGGCUUACCAAGGCAACGAUGCGUAGCCGACCUGAGAGGGUGAUCGGCCACACUGGAACUGAGACACGGUCCAGACUCCUACGGGAGGCAGCAGUAGGGAAUCUUCCGCAAUGGGCGAAAGCUUGACGGAGCAACGCCGCGUGAGUGAUGAAGGUCUUCGGAUCGUAAAACUCUGUUAUUAGGGAAGAACAAAUGUGUAAGUAACUAUGCACGUCUUGACGGUACCUAAGCAGAAAGCCACGGCUAACUACGUG
rnacentral:rRNA from 1 species